rnacentral:rRNA from 1 species
GGCGAACGGGUGAGUAACACGUGAGUAACCUGCCCCCGACUCUGGGAUAAGCCUGGGAAACUGGGUCUAAUACCGGAUAUGACCUCUCACCGCAUGGUGGGUGGUGGAAAGAUUUAUCGGUGGGGGAUGGACUCGCGGCCUAUCAGCUUGUUGGUGAGGUAAUGGCUCACCAAGGCGACGACGGGUAGCCGGCCUGAGAGGGUGACCGGCCACACUGGGACUGAGACACGGCCCAGACUCCUACGGGAGGCAGCAGUGGGGAAUAUUGCACAAUGGGCGAAAGCCUGAUGCAGCGACGCCGCGUGAGGGAUGACGGCCUUCGGGUUGUAAACCUCUUUCAGUAGGGAAGAAGCGAAAGUGACGGUACCUGCAGAAGAAGCGCCGGCUAACUACGUGCCAGCAGCCGCGGUAAUACGUAGGGCGCAAGCGUUAUCCGGAUUUAUUGGGCGUAAAGAGCUCGUAGGCGGUUUGUCGCGUCUGCCGUGAAAGUCCGAGGCUCAACCUCGGAUCUGCGGUGGGUACGGGCAGACUAGAGUGAUGUAGGGGAGACUGGAAUUCCUGGUGUAGCGGUGAAAUGCGCAGAUAUCAGGAGGAACACCGAUGGCGAAGGCAGGUCUCUGGGCAUUUACUGACGCUGAGGAGCGAAAGCAUGGGGAGCGAACAGGAUUAGAUACCCUGGUAGUCCAUGCCGUAGACGUUGGGCACUAGGUGUGGGGGACAUUCCACGUUGUCCGCGCCGUAGCUAACGCAUUAAGUGCCCCGCCUGGGGAGUACGGCCGCAAGGCUAAAACUCAAAGGAAUUGACGGGUGCCCGCACAAGCGGCGGAGCAUGCGGAUUAAUUCGAUGCAACGCGAAGAACCUUACCAAGGCUUGACAUGUUCCAGACCGGGCUAGAGAUAGUCCUUCCCUUCGGGGCUGGUUCACAGGUGGUGCAUGGUUGUCGUCAGCUCGUGUCGUGAGAUGUUGGGUUAAGUCCCGCAACGAGCGCAACCCUCGUUCCAUGUUGCCAGCACGUAUUGGUGGGGACUCAUGGGAGACUGCCGGGUUCACUCGGAGAAA